AUGGCUGAGGAUCUGUCUAGGGUUUGCUGGUUGAUUUGUCCUGGCUGGGGUCUGCUUGUGCUCUUGGGCUGUGCUGCUCGAAGUUGCUUCGCUGGUUUCCUUGCAGGCACCCAAGCUUUUCUUUGCGCGAUGGCAUCAGGCACACGGAGGGAGCUCUUCUCCAUCGGUGCGAUGAACAAUGACCGUGAUCUCCGUUCCACACCAUCACCAGCUAGCAAGAUGAAGCAUUCUGCCACGGUUAGGCCGAAGGCUAUGCUUAGUGUCGUUCUUGCUGAAGAUGAUUUACCCGAGGUGAAGUACAAGACAUGCGCAUCUUACCGUGGCCUUGUGGCGGCUACUGCUAUCUUCUGGCCAUCACAGUUGCGUUCGUCCGCAGCGGCAGAGCAUAUGAGGAUCAAUGGCGACCCAGCUGUGGAUGCCAAUGGGCCAUGCAAAAUGCUGCUCCUCGGUGCUUGGAGCAUCUUCAGGCCACCAUGGAUAUUGAAUUUGACCGCCCUCUAA
rnacentral:rRNA from 1 species